GAGCAUGGAUAGCUUUCUUCCUCCGCCCAGCCGCCACAGUGAUUGUCGUCAAGUCUGCCACAGGAGGAUAUUUUGUUCUGGGUUAACCUGCUUUUCUACUUCGCAGGUUGUUUAUCAGUAUUUGUGUAAUUUUAUUUACUCCUAGAAUUUCCGCAUGUGUUAGCAGUGAUUAUUUGAAUUUGGUCUGUAAUAUUAUUAUCAUGUUGGACCUGUAAACUUAAUACUCUAUGUCUGUUUGAUGGAUUGGAUGAGGGAGCUGAGCUCCCAUUUCUUUUA